CUUGGCUAUUCUUCAUCAUAUGGCGUACGUGCUCUGGUGUUAGUCCGAUGUCAGCGACGAGAUCAAGACGAUGGCUUGAUUGCUGCGCAUCGGCAACAAAGGAAAACCAAUCUCAUCUUUUAUUUGGUGGUGGCUUCCCAAAGACCAAGGACACGACGUGAUGCUGAAGGAGAUCGAUGCCCUAGAUUAUCAUGACCUAUAUAUAUAUACACGUGAGGUCUGGAUCAAUUUCGACUAGGAUUAGAAUACAUUAUUUUUAGAAUAUUUAGUUUCAUGACUGAAAAAUAAUUCUAGAGAAUCUAGAAUUACUAUUUAAGCCACGAAAGAAAAAAAAAAUACUUCAAAAGCUCCGAAAAUUCGGGGAAAAUUCUCAAAGCUAUUAUGGAAUAUGAGGAACCCAAAUAAAUUAUUUGAAGCUCAUGAUAGGAUAAUUUGGAGCAUCUAAAAAUUAGAUUAUGCCCACAGUCAAAUGGGAACAAGUUCCAGAAAAGUGCUGAAAUAAUUCCUGGUAAGUUUUUAGAGAUUGAUUGAUGGACAAGGAACUGGAAGGAGUGAUUUGGGUGACAAAGAAAGAUUUCUAAGAAGGUCCAAAUGAAAGCCUAAGCUGAGAAACAAGAAAUUUGAUUACAGAAGAAUAUGAAAGACAUGUCGGAUAAGGAAGAUCGACCUACUAAACGCAUUUUAAAGACUUUGCUCACUCUCCAUAUACAAAGAAGCAACAAACAAACAUAACAUAAAACAUAUGUACCAGCAUGUUUGCACAACAAUGUUGCUAUACCCUAUGAUAAAUUUUAAUUUGAUAAAAAAAAAAUAUUUUUCCUAUGUUUUCAUGAGCACAAAAAUACAAAAUAAAUUAUUUUAGCUCUAUUUUCAAAGAAACAAUUUUUAGGGUGUUACAAUAACUAUGUAUGUCGAUGCACUAGAGAUCGGUAGAGGUAGCAGAUCCGUUCCGCUAACAACGUCGGUAUGUCGACGUCGUCGAAGUAGUCACGUUUGGGACGUCGGCGGCAUGAGUGUCGGCGUCAAGGUCGGCAGCGGCUUCAACGGCGAUGUCGACGUAGAGCUUGUCGUGUUGAUAAUGUGUUAUAAAACAUGUUGCCAGCGGUUGGGACCUUUCCCUCUCCGUCUCUCGUGAUCAACAUAGUAGAUGAGAGUAGAAGAACAAAUAGACACAAGAUAGAGAGACUAUUCUUUAUUCCUCUGAAUAUUGGUGAUUACAACAUAGAGCUCCCACGUAUAUAUAGUCCUGCCAAGGCCUAAGAGUUUUGGUAAGAGCCCACAUAUAAACGGACUAGGAUUAGGAUUCCUCCUUCUCUUUUCCUUCUAGGAUCAAGUCUGUAUGUUUUAAAAAAAAACAAGAAUGAUAGUUUCCGAGUUUUUUCUUUCAAUUUUCAGGCCUAAAUAAAAAUAAAGGUGGUAAACGAAAAAAUGAAAAUAAAAAUGAUAAAAACAAUGAGAAAUAGAAAUAAAAAUGUUUUUCCCCUGUUCCGCUCGUUUUCGAAAAUUACCAUAUUUAGCUGGUAAUUUACUGUUAUUAGUUACCGAUUUAAAGAACUUGAAUCCUACAGACUAUAUAAUACAUAUACUUUAGGUCCAGUUGGCCCACAUCUAAGAACAUAAGACAUAUAUUUUUUCAAAAGGAACUAUAUGUGACACGUAUUUCAUCCGUAUAAGAAUAAGAAGGCAAUCGGCCAAUCACAUAUUGCACAUGUGACUCUAAUUAGUGACCACAAACACUAACGAACUCUAGAGCUUAGCUUGUUUGAGAUCUAAGAUGGUGUAAACUGUAACUUUAGCUUGUGGUCUUAUCAAUUGUAGCUUUAUUUAUUAUUAUAGAUAGGUAAAGUUCCG
rnacentral:lncRNA from 1 species